CUUUCCCAGGUCCUUUGGUGGAUGUUGCACGCAAGCCCAGCUCCCAUGGCAGGGGUCCUCCGAGGCGAAAGAACAAAGCUACAGGUCACAAGAAACCCCAUGAGCCACUCAAAAUCACGGGACAAAUGGUGAAAGAAAUACUGCAAACCGAACAAGAAGUGGAUGGAGAGGCUGGGCAAAAGGCGGUGUUUCCCGAAGGAAGCAGUGGUUCCAUGCCAGCCUCUGCUGUAGGACUGGAGGCGAUGCCAGGCACAGUCACAGGAGGUUGGGAUCAAGACAUGGAUUAUCUGGGAAACCUGCUGGAUUAUGGCUUGAGACUCAUGGGAAAUCCUGGAG